UCAUUUUUAUCUGAAUCACACAUCAGGUAUUUUUUUUUCCUAACCAGUGACUCCUAAGUUAGAUGCUGCUUGCACCAUGCUUUCAUUCCAUUUAUAUCAUUCUUCAGCUGUGCUGCGUGAUCAUCAGCUGUGCCCUGCCCCCCAACCCUCCAUUGCCCAAUUCUGUAGUAAAGUCUUUUGGGAUUGGCCUUGGACUUGGACUUUUGCUUCUUUUGUGUCUUUACUGACUAUCAGUGCAGGCCUGGAUAAAGUUCUUGUUGCAGAACUUGCUACUGCACAAACUUUUGUUCCAGGGUUAGAUCAGGAAGGGUAGUAAGGAAAACAGAGCAGUCUCCAAAAGGUGGGAUAGAAAGCUGUCCUUUAGAAGUUAAAUUAUAAAUCAAGCCAAUCAGAGCAAAGAUACAAAAUGUCUCCAUAAAGAAAAAUAAGGGCUGCAAGACCUUACUGAGUAAUGUUACUCAGUAACGCCUUGCUCUAUCUAAAAAUGUUCAUCUGAGGAGAGGCGGCCUGGGUACCAUAAUACAGAGAGCCUCAUCGACACAAACAGAUGGUGUCCACCAGGCCCCAUCUAGGGAGAAGGGCUGACCAGGCCAGCAGGGAUGAGUGAACAGUACUUCCUAUAGGUUUUGACCUGUGUUGCGGAAAGAGACAUCCCACAUUGCCCGAGCCUGAUAUCAUCAAACAUUUAAGUCAGACAAUUCACUCUUCUGAUUCUGAUUUUAGGCUCACUAAGCCACCUUCUGACUAUGGGGCUCCAAACUGCAUGGCUACAAGAAGAGAAUGUGCUCAUCAGGUGGCCUCGAGUCCAGUGUUUCUGACAGUCUUGCUUCUAACAGGAAUGGAUAAGCUUCAGGUUUUGGGGUCAGAUGGCCUUGAUUCAAACCCUGCCACUAACAUACAUAGUAACUAUGUGACCUUGGGAUUUCCUUCAUCUUUUUUUCUCCCAAAUGAAAAAUAAAUAGAUUAUAAUAUACCACAUGAUAGUAGGGAGAAAUAAUGAGGUAAUAAUGCAUGUAAUGCAUUUAGCAUAGCACUUCUCUAGCAAAUAGUGAAUGAAAUCAGUCAGUUGUCAUUCUGACUUUAUGCAACAGUGCUAAUCGACUCUGGAACACUGGAAGUCAGAUGAGAUUUUUGGUCCCACAAAGUCAAGGACCAAACCUGGACCUUGGGAAGUUGCCAAGAUGAAAAACAUCAGGCCGGCCUUCACCUCCUGAUGCUCUCUGUUCACAUGUGUGAUGUCUAUAAAAGGUAACCAGGAUUUGGCUUAUCUGCUUACAUCUCUUCCUGUCUUUUCCUGAUCUUCAUCUUCCCAAACAUAGUUUUUAUGCAGAAGCAGAUUUAACUCUACUUUGCUAUCUUGGAGUCAAGAAUUGUCCUAUAAGGAGGAAGAGGCUCCAAGGCUUGCCUUUUUUGUUUUUUCUUUUUCCUUCAUACUACAGACUAAAAGUAGCAUCUUCUGGACAGAGAAACAGGCUGCUGUUUUUCUAAGGUCAUCAUUUGGCCUGCCCCACUUUCCCACCUGCUCUUGAGGGAACUAUUGCAAGGACACAUACAAGCCCCUACAUCAGUCACAGACCAGGGCCUCCAUCUUGCAGGGAAUGUGCCCAAAUUACAAACAGGUAAACCAAAGUGACUCUGGGCAGAUUUAAUAGCUCAUUUUGGUUUCUUGUUCCAGUUAUAACAGACUGCUCUAUGUUUGCUCUAUGGCAAAAACUUUUAUGUUUGCUUUGCAACAAACGUACAGACAGGGCAAACUGUGUUUGGAGUAUGGUGUCUUACCAAUGUUUUCUAAAAGCAAGUGAAUAGAAAUGCUUGCAAAAGUAUUUUCAGACCUCAGUGGCCAGCGCUGAACACCGCUGUAGGAAUGUCCAUCAAACGUUGUGGCCAUGCUCCACUCUAACAAAAACCUGGUUCCGUGGCAUAAUUGUGGGGGCUAAUUGUCAGGCUAAGUUUGAGACACCUUCCAAAAAAAAUUGCAGGGCUUCCUCAGUCUUUAAACUCCAGAUAAUAUUGUCCAAACUUUGACAACUAACCUAUUAUCAUGGAGAUAGCUCCAAGUUGAUGGACUGGCCAUUAGAGAAUGUCUAUCAAGCAUCCAGGUAAAUAAUGACUUGGUUGCUGCCCUCAAGGAACCCACUUAGAGGCUGGCAGAAAAUUUUAAGUAUUUUCUUCCUUCUAUUGUUCAUUCCUAAAAUUCUGGCAGUAGGUAUGAUUAUUAUUAUUCCCAUCCCACAGGGGAAAUAAUUAAGUCUAACUACUUGAAUAUUUUGUCCCAAAUCACUGACAGUAAGAGACGGCCAGACACUGAAACCUGGAAUCUCUAAAUGUUUAGAUAUUGAUGGGCACCGCUUAGACCAGGGAGUCCAAACCAUAGGCUUGCUGUUCCAGUUUCUCUUAUCGGAUGAAGGGACCCCCAUUUCACCGACGUCAUUGACUUUUGGGUUCUCCGCUGACCCCAGAUAAGAUGCCUGGUACCUCAUGGUCAAGUCCCCUCCAACGGGGACUCCUCAGAGGCUUGGUCCCAGUUGCUCAGGCUGCCAUCUGCCUCCUCAGGCCAGAGCCCGAGGCGCCGCCAGCGGUCAGGUCCCGGGCCAGCUGCCAGCCACAGGCCCAAGUAAACGCUGAAUGAAGGGCAGAUGGAGGAACCUGUCCCGGUCGGCCGAAGCGCCGCGGGCGCCUUUCCACUUACGGCGGGCCUGCCCAGCCUCCCGCCCAGCCCGGGCCCGGGUCCCGCCGAGGCAGGUGUGCGUGGCGGACUAUCUCUCGGGCACUCGGCUGGCCCAGCUCCACCCCGAACGCCACCGGGCCAGGCCACGCGCAGACCCGAGCCCGGGGCCCCCGCCUCUGGCUGCCGGCCCGCGCCCGCCGCGCGCCCCGCGUUCACUGCGCGCUCGGCCCCGGUCCCGCCUCCCGGAGGGUUUCGCUUUCGCUUUCCUGCCGAUGUCUUUGAGGAAAAUGAAAGCGGUCGUGGCCAGGACUGGCGCAGCUGCCGUUUCAGGCGAGGGGCGCAGAAUGCAGCGGCCGCCAGCCUGGAGCGCGGGCCCUGAGGCCGCAGCCCGCGCCGGGCGAGGUGGCAGCACACCCUGGGCCCCCAACUCCCCGCCGCAAGUCCUGAGGAUGGCCAGUAGAGAAACAAGAAAAUGGACUCCCUGGCUGCUGGAGAGUUGAAUGCCAGGCACCAGCCAUGGGUGCCAGAGUUUGUAGCCUAUUGGAGGAAAACACACCAAGCCUACGCCACUCUGUGCCCUUUAGCCAAGGAAGCCCAGCUGAGGCCCCGCAGCGUCCCUGCCCAGCAGAGCUACAGGAGGCCCGAGGCCCCUUCCUGUUCACUCUUGCUCUAUAGACGCCACGCUGCAAAGCAGAUGUGCAGGGACACCACCUGAAGACCCAGCCUGCAGCUCAGCCCUACACACUGUGGAUGGUGGAGAUCCCAGAGGGCCAAGAGAAGCUUAUUGAGACUUCUCUGCACUGCCCCUCCCACAGCACGAGGUUCAUGGCCCAUGCAUUUCUGGGAGGGUUGACAGGGCCCAGGUUGUGGAAUACCUGUCUGUGAGCCCCAUGUCCUGUCUUGUCGCAGCUGCCUGUAGUUUGACAGAGUAUGCUAGAGGUCAGCCAUUGCUAGGGAGGCUGCCACUAACCACACAGAGAGGAAGGAAAAUUCUCAGCCACAGCACUUAGAGCUGAGCCUGACAUGGUCCUCAGCAAGAUGUUGCAAGUUCCUAAUCUGAACACAGAGGCCAGGGAGUAAGCAUCAUCUGGAGCCCAGAGCUGACUGUCAUUACCCACAAACAUAAACACCCUGAGUCAGGCCUUCUCCCCACCCUGCCGAGGUUGUCAGAGCCUCAGCACUGGCUCUGCCCUGGGUGGCAGCCCCUGGGAAGCCCAGCUGCCACCUCUCUACAAAUGGCCCUGUAGAAGCUGUGCUCAGUGAUCCACUUCCUGGGAGGGGGCUGGGCCCACCUUGUUGCCAUUACACCCCAUUACAAACUGACGCAACCAGCUUUCAACAGACACUGCCAAGGAAGAUACACAUUACAACAGCAUGCUGCAAUACCUCUGCCUGUGCAAGAGACUGACCCACAUCCAAAAAAUGGACAUCUUCCCACCCCAGUGUCUCACUCCACUGAGCUGGAAGUGGCCUUUGUCAGGACCCUGUGAGGUCUUGAGUGGAUCUGCUUUUCCCAAGAUAUUAAACCAGUGACUUUAAAUCCUGGCUGCAUAUUACCAUCAUCUGGGAUAUUAAAAAAUACUGAUGCCUGGAUCUUGCUCCCACCCAAAGAGUCUGACUGAACUGAUGUGGUUUUCAAACAUUUUGUAAGUGUUUGUUAAAGGAUGACAUAUAUGCAAAAAAAAAAAAAAAAAAAAAAAAGCACAAACCAUAAGUGUAAAGCUCAGUGAAUUUUCACAAAAUGAAUUUACCCCGAGUAACCAGCAUCCAAAUCAUGAAACAGAAUAUCACCAGCAACCCCUGGUACCCCUUCCACUUACUACCUGGCUCCAAAGGCUAAUGUCCAUUCUGGCUUCUAAUGGUGUACAGUCAUUUCUCCUGUUUUCAAACUUUAUAUGAUGUAAAUGGAAUCAGGCAGUAUAUAUCCUCUUGUUAUGUUUGUGAGAUGAUUCAUCCAAGUUGUUACUUAGAGCUGCAGUUUAUUCACUCUUCUUGCUAUAGAGUAUUCCACUCUAUGGAUAUUCCUCGAUUUAUCCAUUCUACUGUGAUGCAUUUUUGGAUAUUCGAGUUGUUAUUUAUAAUUUGGAACUAUUCUGACUAUUGCAAUGACAUGCUAGUGUGUAUUUUUGGAGUACAUGUAUAUCCAUUGCUGGGGAAGCAUGGAUAUGAGUAUGUUCAGCUUUAGUACCUUAUGCCAAAUAAUGUUCCUAGGUGGCUGUACCCAUUUACACUCCCUCCAGCAAUGUAUGAGAGUUCUGGUUGCUUCACAUUUUUGCCAACCAUAGAUAUUUUCUAUCUUUUUCAUGUUAGCCAUUCUGGCAGGUAUGUAGUGGUAUCACAGUGUGGUUUGAAUUUGCAUUUCCCUGAUGACUAAUACAGCUGAGCAACCUUUCAUAUGUUUGUUAGCCAUUUAGAUCUUCUCUUUGCAAAGUGCCUGUUGGAAUAUUUGGACGUGAGUAUUUUUAAAAAGCUCCUUAGGUAACUCUACUGUGUAGCCAAGGUGGAAAACCACUGAACUAAAACCACAAAUUAGUAUCUGCGUCUCCCUUUCUUCAUGAUUUGCCUUUGAACUUAGAGCAUUUUGGAUCUGAGAGGACCUCGUGGAACUGGGAAAAGAUUAUAUUCACUCCCUACUAAGAUGAGCCUGUCAGGAAGAAGCAAUUGGAGCUGGCAGUUAAGAAUCUUUAGGAAUGUGACCUCUACUUCAGAAGGGUCCAGGGAGGGCCUGUGGUGUCCACAGCUGCCACAGACAUUUCCUAACCACAAAAAUGGCCCCUUGGUGGUCUCCCCAGAGCUCCAGGCAGUCAUGGGGAGGAAGCGGAGGGCCCCAUGCCAGGUACUUCCCAGUUUCUAGGCCAACAUGAAUGGGACACAGCUCAUAUGGGGUUGUGGUUAGACUGGGGACAGUGGAGCAUAUGUUCUGGGGACCUGGGUGUGGCCAAGGGAGGCCUCCUGUCUGUGGCCUUUGUCCCAGAUUGGAAAUCAGCCAGUGGGGCUCUCCUACAUGGGUCCAGGCCUGGCUAGCUCUUGAAUUCUGUGCGUUUGCAUGUGGGUCCUUAUGCAUGCGUCCUAGAGCAGGGUCCCAGGGGGCCACCCCACCCCUCCUUGACCCCUUACUCCUCUAAGCUGGGAAACACGUGGCAUGAGAGAACACACUGUGGCUUCUAAUGACAUCGUGUCUUGAUUGCAUCCCCAUUGCAUCAUCUGGGCUCAUCUCAUCCCCACCUCUGGACUGUAACAUCAUCCCAGGGACUGCCGGACACUCAUCUGUGCUCCCCCACAGAGAGUAUAAUGCCAUUUGGUAAUUCAGUAUAGCCUCUUCCAACUUGAGAAAGAAGAUGCAUUUCCUUCCCUCAGUCUUGAGCUGUGCAGGUAUCAUGCUGAGCUGCCCUGUGUGGGCUCCAUGUUGGCACACAUCGGUUGCAAGGGGCUCUGUGCAGUGAGUCUGGAGUUGGACCACUGGCCGGGCGCUGGGAUGCUAGUGCCUGACUGAGUGUGCACAGAGGCCCCUCAGGCAGAGCCAUAGUGGGCGCUGAACCUCCUGGUGAAGUUCACUGCAGUAACUAGAGCUCAGUGGGAGGGGCUGGCCUAUCAGCACCUGUCCUGUGUGCUUUUUGAAAAGAGCAGGGUCUACCUUCUGUCAACUGAAGUCCUGCCAGCUGCAUGGCAUGAGAUGAGGGACAAAGUGGCAUGUGAACAAAGUUGACAUUUUGGAGGCUGUUAGGCUCAGAGCCAACCCUGGGCUCCAUGUAGUGCCAUGACUCAUGGAUUCAGGCCCAUCUUGGAAAUUGCUCUGGGCGUAGAGCUCUCAUUUCUGAUAGUCCAAGUGCAGAUAUUGGGGUGCCUCUAAUUGGCCCAAAUGGUGGCCUGCACCAACCAGCGACCAGAGUGCUGUCUGAAUCUAGAAUAACAGGAAGAACACGCCUCCAGCAGUGUAGGAGAGUUCCCCAUGCAGUGUGCUUCCCAUUCUUACCAGCAGUUGGUAUCUUCUGUCUUUUUCACACUGGCCAUCUGAGUCUCAUAAGGAGACUCCUCUCCUUCCACUGAGCCUGCAUCCCAGCCUCUCCCCUUUCUUCAGGGACCUCUCCCCAGCAAUUAUGCCCUUCCAUUCUCUCAACCAGGGAAUCUUCAAACUCUUCUUCUCCACUGGCUUCUGCUGUGCUCCCGUCUCCAUCACCUGUAUAAUGCUUCCUGCCAUCCUGCCUUCCCCGUGGAGUACAGCCAUGCUGUCUGCUGCUUACAGCCAAGAUUCUGGAAAGAAAUGUCUCCUUUUUCCUCGUCAUCAACCACUCAUUUAUUCAGCAAGUGUUUCUUUUACACUUGCCUGUGCUGGGCAUGGCAGCAAUGCAGCAGUGAACAAAACCACCAGCCCUGCUCUCAUGCAGCUUAUAAUCAAGUAGAGAGACAGACAUAAAUGAUUAAUAGAUGCUCCUGUAAUGGCGGUUGUGAGGUGUGCUGCCACAGCCCAGCCACACACGCCAGUUCCCUUCUCUGCACAUGUACAUGUCUGCUCAUCCUUCCCACCUGAACUCAUGUGCCACCUCACUUAUGCCCCUUCCCAAUGCCGCACCCACACAACAGGGUGUCCCUCUGUGCCCACAGCAGCCCUUGGGUAUAACUGUUCCCCACAGAGGCUGAACCCCGAGGGCAGAGUCCAGGCCACACUCACCUCGGAGCCCCCUGCCUGGCACAGAGCCCAGCCCAGCAGAGAUGCUCAGAAGAUGAAUGAAAGUCCCUGCUGAGAUUGAUCCAAUCUGUUUGUGAACAUCUCUGGGGUCCAAGAAUUCACGGCUUUCUUUUUCUUUAGAGAGCCUUUUGUUUCUUUUUGCCAUUAUAUACUAUAUUUGGGUUAGGGCACAACAAUGUGAAUAUACUUAAUACUGAACUCUACACUUGAAAAUGGUUAAGAUGGUAAAGUUUUAAGUUAUGUGUAUUUUGCCACAAUUUUUUAAAAUGCAGAGCAUAGGUACAAAGAAGGAAAAAAAGGGGGCAAGGUCCAUUUUAUUGAGAAAUAAAGAACAAAGGGUUCAAUUCAGAGAGGAUUGGAUUUUAAAAUGUAAUUUAGAUUAGGGAAAUGCAAAUGAAAACCAUAAUAAGUAAGAUACCACUUCACAUCUGUUAGGAUGGCUAUUUUAAAACAACAAAAACAACCUGAAAAUAAGUGUUGGCAAGGAUGUGAAGAAAUAGAUACCCUUGUGCAUUGCUAUUGGGAACGUAAAAUCAUGCAGCCUUUGUUGAAAACAAUGUGGUGGUUCCUCAAAAACUUAGUUAUCAUAUGAUCCCGCAGUUCCACUUCUAGGAAUAUACCCAAAAGAAUUGAAAGCAGGGACUCAAAGUGAUAUUUGUACACCAGUGUUUGUAGCAGUAUUAUUCACAAUAGCCAAAAGGUGGAAACAACCCAGAUGUCCAUGACAAGAUGAGUGGAUAAACAAAAUAUGGUGAAUACAUACAAUGGAACAUAAUUCAGCUUUAAAAAGGAAUGAAAUUCUGGUACAUGUUAUAACAUAGAUGAACCUUAAAAACAUUAUGCUAAGUGAAAUAAGCCAGACACAGAAGGAAAAAUACCAGAUGAUCCCACUUAUAUGAGGUACCUAGAAUAGUGAAAUUCAUAGAGACAGAAAGUAGAAGGAUGGUUGCCAGGGGCUGGAAGGAGGAAGAACAGGGAGAUACUGCUUAGUGGAUGCAGAGUUUAUGUUGAGGGUGAUGAAAAAGUUCUGGAGAUGGAUGGUGGUGAUGGCUGCACAACAGUGAGAAUGUACUUCAUACUAUGGAACUCUGCACUUAAAAAUGGUUAAAAUGGAUGUAGACAUUUUAUGUCUAUUUUGCCAUAACAAGAAAGUAAUUUGGGUGUAUUUUAGAGAUUUUAGAAAAUACUGUAAGCACAAGAGGAAAAAAAUUAAAAUCAUUCGCAAUCA